rnacentral:rRNA from 1 species
GAUGAACGCUAGCUACAGGCUUAACACAUGCAAGUCGCGGGGCAGCAUGGGGGUUGCUUGCAACUCCCGAUGGCGACCGGCGCACGGGUGAGUAACGCGUAUCCAACCUGCCCUUCACCACGGGAUAACCCGGCGAAAGUCGGACUAAUACCGUAUGUUGUCCAUUGACGGCAUCCGAUUUGGACGAAAGGCUUUGCGGUGAAGGAUGGGGAUGCGUCCGAUUAGCCAGACGGCGGGGUAACGGCCCACCGUGGCUACGAUCGGUAGGGGUUCUGAGAGGAAGGUCCCCCACACUGGAACUGAGACACGGUCCAGACUCCUACGGGAGGCAGCAGUGAGGAAUAUUGGUCAAUGGGCGUAAGCCUGAACCAGCCAAGUAGCGUGCAGGAUGACGGCCCUAUGGGUUGUAAACUGCUUCUAUGCGGGGAUAAAGUGGCCCACGUGUGGGCUUUUGCAGGUACCGCAUGAAUAAGGACCGGCUAAUUCCGUG